GUCCUUUUGUUAUUUAUUUAAGGUCUGGCCUGCCCACUGAAUUUUUAAUGGCCGCGGUAUUUUGACCGUGCAAAGGUAGCAUAAUAAUUUGUCUUUUAAUUGAAGGCUGGAAUGAAUGGUUAGACGAAAAAGUAACUUUCUUUAUUUAAUUAUUAUGAAUUUAAUUUUUUAGUUAAAAAGCUUAAAUUUAUUUAUAGGACGAGAAGACCCUAUAGAACUUCAUAUUUUAUUAAAUAAGUUAUUAUUGGUUUAUUAAUAUAGUUUAUUUAAUAAAUUAUUUUGUUGGGGCGACAAGAAAAUUUAAAUAACUUUUCUUUAAAUUUCAUUAAUUUAUGUAUAUAUGAUCCUUUAUUAUAGAUUAAUAGAUUAAGUUACCUUAGGGAUAACAGCGUUAUUCUUCUGGAGAGUUCUUAUCGAUAGAAGAGUUUGCGA
rnacentral:rRNA from 1 species